GACGAACGCUGGCGGCGUGCCUAAUACAUGCAAGUCGAACGCAGUGGGGACGGGUGAGUAACACGUGGGUAACCUCCCAUCAGAGGGGAUAACACUUGGAAACAGGUGCUAAACCGCUACUGAUUGAUCGACCCGGUGGGCAUUAGCUAGUUGGUGGGGUAACGGCCCACCAAGGCCACGAUGCCUAGCCGGCCUGAGAGGGUGAUCGGCCACACUGGAACUGAGACACGGCCCAGACUCCUACGGGAGGCAGCAGUGGGGAAUAUUCGGCAAUGGACGAAAGUCUGACCGAGCAACGCCGCGUGAGUGAAGAAGGUUUUCGGAUCGUAAAGCUCUGUUGUUAGAGAAGCGGUAUCUAACCAGAAAGCCACGGCUAACUACGUGCCAGCAGCCGCGGUAAUUC
rnacentral:rRNA from 1 species